UCCGGUUGAUCCUGCCGGACCUGACUGCUAUCGGAUUGAUACUAAGCCAUGCUAGUCUUUGUAGUAAUACAAGGCAUACGGCUCAGUAACGCGUAGUCAACCUACCCUAUGGACGGGGAUAAUCUCGGGAAACUGAGCAUAAUACCCGGUAGACCACUUCUCCUGGAAUGGUUAGUGGUUAAAAUGAUUCGUCGCCAUAGGAUGGGACUGCGGCCUAUCAGCUUGUUGGUGAGGUAAUGGCCCACCAAGGCGAUUACAGGUACGGGCUCUGAGAGGAGAGGCCCGGAGAUGGGUACUGAGACAAGGACCCAGGCCCUAUGGGGCGCAGCAGGCGAGAAAACUUUGCAAUGUGCGAAAGCACGACAAGGUUAAUCCGAGUGAUUUCUGCUAAAGGAAUCUUUUGUUAGUUCUAAAAAUACUAGUGAAUAAGGGGUGGGCAAGUUCUGGUGUCAGCCGCCGCGGUAAAACCAGCACCUCAAGUGGUCAGGAGGAUUAUUGGGCCUAAAGCAUCCGUAGCCUGUUCUAUAAGUUUGCGGUUAAAUCUAUACGCUCAACGUAUAGGCUGCCGUAAAUACUGUAGAACUAGGGAGUGGGAGAGGUAGACGGUACUCGGUAGGAAGGGGUAAAAUCCUUUGAUCUAUCGAUGACCACCUGUGGCGAAGGCGGUCUACCAGAACACGUUCGACGGUGAGGGAUGAAAGCUGGGGGAGCAAACCGGAUUAGAUACCCGGGUAGUCCCAGCUGUAAACGAUGCAGACUCGAUGAUGCAUUGGCAUAUAGCCAGUGCAGUGUCGCAGGGAAGCCGUUAAGUCUGCCGCCUGGGAAGUACGUACGCAAGUAUGAAACUUAAAGGAAUUGGCGGGGGAGCACCACAAGGGGUGAAGCCUGCGGUUCAAUUGGAGUCAACGCCGGA
rnacentral:rRNA from 1 species